rnacentral:rRNA from 1 species
UACGUAGGGGGCAAGCGUUAUCCGGAUUUACUGGGUGUGAAGGGUGCGUAGACGGUCAGACAAGUCUGAAGUGAAAUGCAUGGGCUCAACUCAUGAACUGCUUUGGAAACUGCCUGACUGGAGUACAGGAGGGGUAAGCGGAAUUCCUGGUGUAGCGGUGAAAUGCUUAGAUAUCAGGAGGAACACCGGCGGCGAAGGCUGCUUACUGGACUGUAACUGACGUUGAGGCACGAAAGCGUGGGGAGCUAAC